rnacentral:misc_RNA from 1 species
AAGGUCUACCGGGUACAAGUCGGAGACAGUCACUAGCGUGUUGUCUAGACUACGGGAUAGUUUAUGUAGGAAGGGUGUGCCUAUAUGAGCUAAAUUUUCAGGAUUCAAAUACGCGACGCAUAAGGAAAACGUCGAAUUCAUGGAUUCACAGAGCGGCGUCAGGAUAACUAUUACAGUAUCGUCAAUGAACUAGUGAGUUUAUCGUGUAUAAAAUAGUAUGAUUUUUUUUAUAAAAAAAACGUGUUUCUGCUAUCAUUAUUAACAAAGCAUUGUAAAGUCCUGAUAACUUUGGCAUGAAUGAAGAUGAUAGCAAAUGUAAAUCGUCUUUGGAAGCUUAUUUGGUAGCAGAGAGAAAUCUUAGAGAAACCGUGACGAAAAAUCUGUAGCAUAUCAGGAACUGAUGCAGGAAGGUCUAAUCUGAUGGAUGGUAAAGAUGAAGAUUCUACUCGCGACACUGAGAACGAGACUACUCUCAAGAAAUUUCAACAGUGUAGCCGAACAGGCCGAAGGAACGCUCUGCCAGACAUCCGAAACCAGCAGAGUGAAGGGAGCACAGCUUCACUUUCAAACGAGUUCAGCAAGUUAUCUUGUUCCGAUAACAGCGACGACGGUACUACAGGCAAAACUGUGUCACGUGACGCUUCGAAAACCUAAUGACUUCUAACUGGUGUGUCAUGUGACGGAAGAAUGUGUUAAGACUCGCAAUUCGAACAAAGCCUUAUUCAUGUAAUCGACUGCGAGAGGCUUAGCGGCAAUACCGCUUUGCUAUUAAAUAUUGCGUUUUAAUUAACGCGAGUUUCCUUUUGUAACUAUAGAAAGGAGAAUCUCUAAGUAAUGCGAAUCGACUAAUGUCAUUGCCUCAAUAUUUUUGUUUUACACUAAAAGUAUCAUUAGGAGAAAAAACUUAAAAACGCUGUAAACAAGCCACUGAUAGUUGCCAAGUAAAUGAAUGUCCAAAAAUCUUAACAAACGGACGUUCAAAAUCUAGUAUGUGGUCAGUCUCCAACGUCGGAUGACAGAACGAAAACAACAAAACAUUUUCGAUCGACUUUCGUGAAACUUGUCUCAUUUGUUUGUAGAUUUGUAGUGUCAUGUGAGGUUGAAACUAUUUUACAAAUCUUAACAAAUUUGAUUUAAAUAUUAGUAAUACAUAAUUUUUGAUAAUCGUCAAAUGGGUAGGUUCCAUGGUUUCUCAUUGUUUUCAAAAAAGUUGUUAGAAGUAACUUAAAAACAAAAGAUAAAUAAUGAAUUAGUAUCAUUUACAUUAAUUUAAAAAAUUCUGAAGAAGCACUUAUAAAACGUACAAUAAAAAAUUAUAUGAUCUAAGUUAGAAUGUUUUUCUCUUCAAAUCCUACGACAUUUUUAUGAAGAUGCUAAUGCACUUUGCGACUAACAUUAUGGUCAAAUAUUUGUUUAUUUUACUUGUCAUGAGAAUCUGAUACAAAAUGCUUCGACUCUUUACGGUUUUCUUUAAAAUAUGUGAAAUUUUCACCAGGUUUAUACUGCAAUUUAAAUAUGUAUGUAUCCACCUGCGUAUAAUAAUGCUACGUAACUUGUCUUUAUAGUAAAUCCGUUAUAGGCGAAUUGCAUAAUGGAAAUUUUAACGUUUCAAUUUUGUAAUAUUCGACCAUAUUAAUUGUCAGUCUGGUCAUAAUUAAAUAAAAAA